rnacentral:rRNA from 1 species
AUACCCUAUAGGUUMCAGAUGCUGGAAUGCCCUKUAACCCAAAGUUCCGACGCCCUAGGAUGGAUCUGCGGCCGAUUAGGUUGUUGUUGGGGUAAUGGCCCAACAAGCCCGUAAUCGGUACGGGUUGUGGGAGCAAGAGCCCGGAGUUGGAUUCUGAGACACGAAUCCAGGCCCUACGGGGCGCAGCAGGCGCGAAAACUUUACAAUGCGGGCAACCGUGAUAAGGGAACCUCGAGUGCCUGUAAAUGCAGGCUGUUCAGGUGCCUAAAACACACCUGAAGAAAGGGCCGGGCAAGACCGGUGCCAGCCGCCGCGGUAAUACCGGCGGCUCGAGUGGUGGCCGCUUUUAUUGGGCUUAAAGCGUUCGUAGCUGGGUUGUUAAGUCUCUUGGGAAAUCUGGCGGCUUAACCGUCAGGCGUCUAAGGGAUACUGGCAAUCUUGGAACCGGGAGAGGUGAGGGGUACUUCGGGGGUAGGAGUGAAAUCCUGUAAUCCUCGAGGGACCACCUGUGGCGAAGGCGCCUCACCAGAACGGCUUCGACAGUGUGGGACGAAAGCUGGGGGAGCAAACCGGAUUAGAUACCCGGGUAGUCCCAGCCGUAAACUAUGCGCGUUAGGUGUAUCGGUGACCACGAGUUACCGAGGUGCCGAAGGGAAACCGUGAAACGUGCCGCCUGGGAAGUACGGUCGCAAGGCUGAAACUUAAAGGAAUUGGCGGGGGAGCACCACAACAGGUGGAGCCUGCGGUUUAAUUGGACUCAACGCCGGGAAGCUCACCGGAUAAGACAGCAGAAUGAUUGCCGGGCUGAAGACUCUGCAUGACUAGCUGAGAGGAGGUGCAUGGCCGUCGUCAGUUCGUACUGUGAAGCAUCCUGUUAAGUCAGGCAACGAGCAAGACCCACGCCAACAGUUGCCAGCAUGGUCUCCGGACUGAUGGGGACACUGUUGGGACCGCCUCUGCUAAAGAGGAGGAAGGAAUGGGCAACGGUAGGUCAGCAUGCCCCGAAUUAUCCGGGCUACACGCGGGCUACAAUGGGCAGGACAAUGGGCAUCGACACCGAAAGGUGAAGGCAAUCUCCUAAACCUGUCCUUAGUUCGGAUUGUGGGCUGCAACUCGCCCACAUGAAGCUGGAAUCUGUAGUAAUCGCGUUCAAAAUAACGCGG